rnacentral:rRNA from 1 species
UUAAGCGACUAAGCGUACACGGUGGAUGCCCUGGCAGUCAGAGGCGAUGAAGGACGUGCUAAUCUGCGAUAAGCGUCGGUGAGGUGAUAUGAACCGUUAUAACCGGCGAUUUCCGAAUGGGGAAACCCAGUGUGUUUCGACACACUAUCAUUAACUGAAUCCAUAGGUUAAUGAGGCGAACCGGGGAACUGAAACAUCUAAGUACCCCGAGGAAAAGAAAUCAACCGAGAUUCCCCCAGUAGCGGCGAGCGAACGGGGAGGAGCCCAGAGCCUGAAUCAGUGUGUGUGUUAGUGGAAGCGUCUGGAAAGGCGCGCGAUACAGGGUGACAGCCCCGUACACAAAAAUGCACAUAUUGUGAGCUCGAUGAGUAGGGCGGGACACGUGGUAUCCUGUCUGAAUAUGGGGGACCAUCCUCCAAGGCUAAAUACUCCUGACUGACCGAUAGUGAACCAGUACCGUGAGGGAAAGGCGAAAAGAACCCCGGCGAGGGGAGUGAAAAAGAACCUGAAACCGUGUACGUACAAGCAGUGGGAGCCUCUUUAUGGGGUGACUGCGUACCUUUUGUAUAAUGGGUCAGCGACUUAUAUUCUGUAGCAAGGUUAACCGAAUAGGGGAGCCGAAGGGAAACCGAGUCUUAACUGGGCGUUAAGUUGCAGGGUAUAGACCCGAAACCCGGUGAUCUAGCCAUGGGCAGGUUGAAGGUUGGGUAACACUAACUGGAGGACCGAACCGACUAAUGUUGAAAAAUUAGCGGAUGACUUGUGGCUGGGGUGAAAGGCCAAUCAAACCGGGAGAUAGCUGGUUCUCCCCGAAAGCUAUUUAGGUAGCGCCUCGUGAAUUCAUCUCCGGGGGUAGAGCACUGUUUCGGCAAGGGGUCAUCCCGACUUACCAACCCGAUGCAAACUGCGAAUACCGGAGAAUGUUAUCACGGGAGACACACGGCGGGUGCUAACGUCCGUCGUGAAGAGGGAAACAACCCAGACCGCCAGCUAAGGUCCCAAAGUCAUGGUUAAGUGGGAAACGAUGUGGGAAGGCCCAGACAGCCAGGAUGUUGGCUUAGAAGCAGCCAUCAUUUAAAGAAAGCGUAAUAGCUCACUGGUCGAGUCGGCCUGCGCGGAAGAUGUAACGGGGCUAAACCAUGCACCGAAGCUGCGGCAGCGACACUAUGUGUUGUUGGGUAGGGGAGCGUUCUGUAAGCCUGUGAAGGUGGCCUGUGAGGGUUGCUGGAGGUAUCAGAAGUGCGAAUGCUGACAUAAGUAACGAUAAAGCGGGUGAAAAGCCCGCUCGCCGGAAGACCAAGGGUUCCUGUCCAACGUUAAUCGGGCAGGGUGAGUCGACCCCUAAGGCGAGGCCGAAAGGCGUAGUCGAUGGGAAACAGGUUAAUAUUCCUGUACUUGGUGUUACUGCGAAGGGGGGACGGAGAAGGCUAUGUUGGCCGGGCGACGGUUGUCCCGGUUUAAGCGUGUAGGCUGGUUUUCCAGGCAAAUCCGGAAAACCAAGGCUGAGGCGUGAUGACGAGGCACUACGGUGCUGAAGCGACAAAUGCCCUGCUUCCAGGAAAAGCCUCUAAGCAUCAGGUAACAUCAAAUCGUACCCCAAACCGACACAGGUGGUCAGGUAGAGAAUACCAAGGCGCUUGAGAGAACUCGGGUGAAGGAACUAGGCAAAAUGGUGCCGUAACUUCGGGAGAAGGCACGCUGAUAUGUAGGUGAAGCGACUUGCUCGUGGAGCUGAAAUCAGUCGAAGAUACCAGCUGGCUGCAACUGUUUAUUAAAAACACAGCACUGUGCAAACACGAAAGUGGACGUAUACGGUGUGACGCCUGCCCGGUGCCGGAAGGUUAAUUGAUGGGGUUAGCGGUAACGCGAAGCUCUUGAUCGAAGCCCCGGUAAACGGCGGCCGUAACUAUAACGGUCCUAAGGUAGCGAAAUUCCUUGUCGGGUAAGUUCCGACCUGCACGAAUGGCGUAAUGAUGGCCAGGCUGUCUCCACCCGAGACUCAGUGAAAUUGAACUCGCUGUGAAGAUGCAGUGUACCCGCGGCAAGACGGAAAGACCCCGUGAACCUUUACUAUAGCUUGACACUGAACAUUGAGCCUUGAUGUGUAGGAUAGGUGGGAGGCUUUGAAGUGUGGACGCCAGUCUGCAUGGAGCCGACCUUGAAAUACCACCCUUUAAUGUUUGAUGUUCUAACGUUGGCCCGUAAUCCGGGUUGCGGACAGUGUCUGGUGGGUAGUUUGACUGGGGCGGUCUCCUCCUAAAGAGUAACGGAGGAGCACGAAGGUUGGCUAAUCCUGGUCGGACAUCAGGAGGUUAGUGCAAUGGCAUAAGCCAGCUUGACUGCGAGCGUGACGGCGCGAGCAGGUGCGAAAGCAGGUCAUAGUGAUCCGGUGGUUCUGAAUGGAAGGGCCAUCGCUCAACGGAUAAAAGGUACUCCGGGGAUAACAGGCUGAUACCGCCCAAGAGUUCAUAUCGACGGCGGUGUUUGGCACCUCGAUGUCGGCUCAUCACAUCCUGGGGCUGAAGUAGGUCCCAAGGGUAUGGCUGUUCGCCAUUUAAAGUGGUACGCGAGCUGGGUUUAGAACGUCGUGAGACAGUUCGGUCCCUAUCUGCCGUGGGCGCUGGAGAACUGAGGGGGGCUGCUCCUAGUACGAGAGGACCGGAGUGGACGCAUCACUGGUGUUCGGGUUGUCAUGCCAAUGGCACUGCCCGGUAGCUAAAUGCGGAAGAGAUAAGUGCUGAAAGCAUCUAAGCACGAAACUUGCCCCGAGAUGAGUUCUCCCUGACUCCUUGAGAGUCCUGAAGGAACGUUGAAGACGACGACGUUGAUAGGCCGGGUGUGUAAGCGCAGCGAUGCGUUGAGCUAACCGGUACUAAUGAACCGUGAGGCUUAACCU